rnacentral:rRNA from 1 species
AACGAACGCUGGCGGCAUGCCUAACACAUGCAAGUCGAACGAGACCUUCGGGUCUAGUGGCGCACGUGUGCUUAACGCGUGGGAACCUGCCCUUAGGUUCCGAAUAACUCCCCUAGAGGGGUCCUAAUACCGGAUAAUCUCUUAGGACCAACGAGCUAUCGCCGUUGGAUGGGCGCGCGUUGGAUUAGCUAGUUGGUAGUGUAUUAGCAUAGCAAGGCGAGGAUGCUUAGCUGGUCUGGGACGAUGACUAGUCAGACUGGCACUGAGGCACGGCCCAGAAUCGGACGGAGGGCAGGAGAGGGGAAUAUUGGAGAAUGGGCGAAAGUCUGAUCACGCCACGCGGGGUAAGUGAGGAAGGGGUUAGGGUUGUAAAGUUGUUUUACACGGGAUGAGAAUGACAGUACCGGGAGAAUAAGCACCGGCUAACUACGUG